UACAGAGGGUGCAAGCGUUAAUCGGAAUUACUGGGCGUAAAGGGUGCGUAGGUGGUUGAAUAAGUUGAGUGUGAAAGUCCUGGGCUUAACCUGGGGAUUGCAUUUGAGACUGUUUAGCUAGAGUACUGUAGAGGAAGGUGGAAUUUCCAGUGUAGCGGUGAAAUGCGUAGAUAUUGGAAGGAACAUCAGUGGCGAAGGCGACUUUCUGGACAGAUACUGACACUGAGGAGCGAAAGCCAGGGGAGCAAACGGG
rnacentral:rRNA from 1 species